rnacentral:rRNA from 1 species
CACGGGGGGAGCAAGCGUUGUUCGGAAUCACUGGGCGUAAAGGGCGUGUAGGCGGUCAGGUAAGUGGGAUGUGAAAUCCCUCGGCUCACCCGAGGACCGGCAUCUCAUACUGCUUGGCUUGAGUACGGGAGAGGAUGUGGGAAUUCCUGGUGUAGCGGUGAAAUGCGUAGAUAUCAGGCGGAACACCCGUGGCGAAGGCGGCCAGCUGGGCCGUCCCUGACGCUGAGGCGCGAAGGCGUGGGGAGCGAACGGG